AUGUACCUUAUCAAUCAGAAGGUUUCCUUCUGGUCUAUGAGGUACAUGUACCUCACUGACCAGAAGGAAACCCUUCCGGUCAACGAGGUAGAUGUACCUCGCUGAUUGAAAGGGUUUUCUUCCAGUCAACAAGGUACAUGUACCUCAUCAACCAGAAGGAAACCCUUCCAAUUGAUGAGGUACAU
rnacentral:miRNA from 1 species